UUAGUGGCGGACGGGUGAGUAACGCGUGGGUAACCUGCCUCACACUGGGGGAUAACAGUUAGAAAUAGCUGCUAAUACCGCAUAAGCGCACGGUUCCGCAUGGAACAGUGUGAAAAACUCCGGUGGUGUGAGAUGGACCCGCGUCUGAUUAGCCAGUUGGCGGGGUAACGGCCCACCAAAGCGACGAUCAGUAGCCGGCCUGAGAGGGUGAACGGCCACAUUGGGACUGAGACACGGCCCAAACUCCUACGGGAGGCAGCAUG
rnacentral:rRNA from 1 species